AUUUUUUUUUUUUUUUUUAAUUUUUUUCUUUCUUUAACUCUGU
rnacentral:ribozyme from 1 species